CCUAAUCUGCUGACCUUCAAGUUGCCCCACAUUGAAUACACCUCUUCUUCUUCAUCUCCAUCGACUAAAGUUGCUUCUUCCAACAUCACCAACCUCAAAAUUCUUUGAUAACACAAAAUUAAUAAACCAAUGAAGCUAAUUUCCUUCCCGUCAUGAGUAACCCACCUUCAAGUGAUGCUCUUUCGAUUUGACAAAGAAGAUUACAGGUGGGCUCUGCAACAACUGUAAUAAUCAAGAAAAUGGGGUUUCACAUCAAAGGUUUGGUGAACAAGUCAAUUAUAGUUCUCAUCUAAGGAGGGACGAAUACCCAUUAAAUAUUUGCAGUACUAGUUGAUCGCGCUGAUGAGGUUCUAUUGUUCUUGUGAUUGGCUUUGGUUUUUGAAGGCCAGGU